GGUCCGGGCGGCCUGUCAGGCUGUAUUUGAAAGCAACAAGGCACUACCUUCGGUCCACCCUGUGGGUGCCAGUACCUGAAGACCCAGUCAGCACAACACCUGGAAAAGAUCCCUUCCUGUUGUUCUCCUGCACAAGAAGAAGAGCUUAGUCCACAAUAAUCCUGUGUGGGUACGGUUGGAGGGGAAGGGCAGAAGAGGGACUCCUGAAGCCACUGAAGGAAGGAAAUCAUUACAGGGUUCUACAGAAGUAGGUCAUGUGCUACAGCUGCUCAUAGUUUAAGAGGAAGAAACAUGGGACCUCAAACAUGGAACAUGACUCCUUCAAAAUGCUUGAGAGCAACCCAAGAAAAACAUCCUU